rnacentral:rRNA from 1 species
UCGAACGCGAAAGUCCCCUUCGGGGGACGAGUAGAGUGGCGUCCGGGUGAGUAACACGUAGGUAAUCUACCUCUGGGUGGGGAAUAACGACCGGAAACGGUCGCUAAUACCGCAUAAUGCAGCGGCACCACAUGGUGACAGUUGUUAAAGCGGGGGAUCGUAAGACCUCGCGCCUAGAGAGGAGCCUGCGGCGGAUUAGCUAGUUGGCAGGGUAACGGCCUACCAAGGCAACGAUCCGUAGCCGGCCUGAGAGGGCGGUCGGCCACACUGGCACUGACAUACGGGCCAGACUCCUACGGGAGGCAGCAGUCGGGAAUUUUGGGCAAUGGGCGAAAGCCUGACCCAGCAACGCCGCGUGAAGGAUGAAGCUUCUCGGAGUGUAAACUUCAUAAGAAUGGGACGAAUAAGUGGGGGAUAAUACCCCCCAUGAUGACGGUACCAUUUGUAAGCUCCGGCUAACUCCGUGCCAGCAGCCGCGGUAAUACGGAGGGAGCAAGCGUUGUUCGGAUUUACUGGGCGUAAAGGGCGCGUAGGCGGCGUGACAAGUCACUUGUGAAAUCUCCGGGCUUAACCCGGAGCGGCCAAGUGAUACUGUCGUGCUAGAGUGCGGAAGGGGCUACUGGAAUUCCCGGUGUAGCGGUGAAAUGCGUAGAUAUCGAGAGGAACACCUGCGGCGAAGGCGGGUAGCUGGGCCGACACUGACGCUGAGGCGCGAAAGCCAGGGGAGCGAACGGGAUUAGAUACCCCGGUAGUCCUGGGCCUUAACGAUGGAUGCUU